rnacentral:rRNA from 1 species
CCUACGGGACGCAGCAGUGAGGAAUAUUGGUCAAUGGGCUUACGCCUGAACCAGCCAAGUCGCGUGAGGGAAGACUGCCCUAUGGGUUGUAAACCUCUUUUGUCAGGGAGCAACGCCGGCUACGUGUAGCCGGACUGAGAGUACCUGAAGAAAAAGCAUCGGCUAACUCCGUGCCAGCAGCCGCGGUAAUACGGAGGAUGCGAGCGUUAUCCGGAUUUAUUGGGUUUAAAGGGUGCGUAGGCGGAAUGCCAAGUCAGUGGUAAAACGUCGGGGCUUCACCUUGAUUGGCCAUUAAAACUGGAGUA